CUCCACCCAGCUGGGUCUCUGUCACAGGUGAGGAGGUUACCUUUGAUUUCAGGAGUUCAUUCAUCCAGAUAUUCACCUGACAGCUGAUUCUCUCUACAGAGAAACCAAAGACCACAGGCCCUCCAACCUCUGCAGCUCCGCCCCCGGCCUCAGACCCCGUCCACCUUGUGUUCAGACUGGUCUGCCACCAUGUGGGGUUCUGUCCUCACUUCAUCUCCACCAUCAUGGUUUCUUUAUAUUGACACAGACCAACAGGAAAUUAUCUACCUGUUUCCAUGGCAGCAGCCUCACCCACCCAAGCUGGUGGAGUUCUUGGCUGAGAUGACAUCGGGGGGUCAGCACCGUGCAUCACAUCUGAGAACAAUCGUAGACAGUCUACCGUUACAUCAGGAAGAAGAUCCUAUACUUAUGAUUUAAAUAUAUUCAAUAUGAAAUCAUUGCUCUGAGUUUGAAUUGUUCCAUUACUUCCAGCCACAGCUAUCUCUGUAAUCCUGAAUACUUUCAAUAAAGUUAGUUCAUGUAACUUUU